rnacentral:pre_miRNA from 1 species
UUGGUACUUCCUCCAUCCCAAAAUUCCUGUCUUUCUAAAUAUGAAUGUACCUAGUUACGUUUUAGUGCUAGAUACAUCCGUAUCUAGAUAAAUCUUAGACAAGAAUUUUGGGACGGAAGUAGUACAUU